rnacentral:lncRNA from 1 species
GAGUUAAAAGGGGCUGCUAAUGGGGCUGCAUGGUUAAGAGUGCCCAUGGACGUCUUCCCUUGUGCCACUCACCUUGCACACUCAGCUUGCCCACUUAUGUGCACCAACAGCCCCCCAGACCCCAGUAUAUCCAUUGACAUUGGUUGGUUGGGUCCAAAGGAGCUGCUAAUUGGGAUUGCAUGGCUAAGUGUCCCCAACCCAAUGCAUGGAGAUCUCCCCUUGCACACUCACCUUGCACACUCACCUUGCACACUUAUGUGCACCAACAACCCCCCAGACCCCGCUCUAUCCUUUGCCAUUGGGUUUGGGCUGCUGAUCAUGGGCUAUGAAGGAGCUACAGCUCAAUGGCUCACAGUCCAUAGAUCCCAUGGAGAUGUCUCCUUGCACACUCACCCUGCACACUCAUCUUGCACACUUAUGUGCACCAAACCCCCCAGACCCCAGUCUAUUGUUUGCUAUUGGGUUUGGGAUGCAAACCAUGGGGUACAAAGGAGCAGCUAAUAGAGCUGCCUGGAUAUGUGUGACCCAGAACCCAAUAGAGAUCUCCCCUUGCACACUCGCCUUGCACACUUAUGUGCACCAACAAACCCCCCUAAACCACACUCUAUUGUUUGCUAUUGGGUUUGGGAUGAUGAUGGUGGGGUACAAAGGAGCAGCUAAUGGGAUUGCAUGGCUCACAGCCCAUAGAUCCCAUGGAAUCUCCCCUUGCACACUCACCUUGCACACUUACACACACACACUCCAUCCCCUUCCUUCUCCCCCCCCACCCACACGUGUCCCCAGCCCCCCCAGCCCCAUAUUAAACCUU